rnacentral:tRNA from 1 species
GGGGUUGUGGCUCAGUGGUAGAGCGCUUGCCUAGCACGUGUGAGGCACUGGGUUUGAUUCUCAGCACCA